rnacentral:ncRNA from 1 species
GAGAGAUUUUAUUCUUGUUUAUUUUAUUUAUUUUGAUAUUAUUUUAUAUGUAAAUUUUUGUGUUAAAUUGGGGAUCUUAAUGAUAUUUAUAUAGUUUUUGCAGUAUAUAAUAUUAUAUUUAUGUAGGUAACUUUGAUUUAGUUAUUAUUAUUUAAUAUUGAUUAAAGAUGUGCCAGCAUUCGCGGUUAUACAUUGAAUAUUAAUAAAUAUUUUUAGUUAAAAUGAUUAUUUUGUUAAUUUAUUAUUUGUUUUAUUUUGAUUAUUUUUAGGUGAAAUUUUAAUUAUUUUGUUUUAUAUAAUAUAUUGUUUAUAUAGAAAUCAUGUGAUCUAUAAUUUAUAUAGACUAGGAUUAGAUACCCUAUUAUAUUUGAUGUAAAAUUGAUUUAUUAAACUGGAGUAGUAGUAUAAUUAUUGAAACUUAAAGAAUUUGGCGGUAUUUUAGUCUUUUUAGAGGAAUCUGUUUCGUGAUUGAUAAUCCGCGUUGAAUCUUACUUAUAUUUAUUUAAUUUGUAUAUCGCCGUUUAUUGAAUAUUUUUUUAGGAAAUUUAAAUUAUUCACUAUUUUAUAUGGGAAAAAUAUUUCAGGUCAAGGUGCAGUUUAUAUAUAAGUGUUUAUGGAUUACAAUAUUAUUUUAAUAUAAUGGAUUAAGUAUUGUUAUUUACUUAUGAAGGUGGAUUUAAAAGUAAUUUUAUUGUAGAUUAUUUAAUUGAAUUUGGCUCUAUAAUGUGUACAUAUUGCCCGUCACUCUCAUUAAUAUUUUAAAUGAGAUAAGUCGUAACAUAGUAGAUGUAUCGGAAGGUGUAUCUAGAAUUAUA